rfam:Triticum aestivum genome assembly, contig: Triticum_aestivum_CS42_TGACv1_scaffold_146006_2BS
CAACUACUCCCUCCAUGCCAAAAUUGUUGUCUUAGAUUUGUCUAGAUGUGGAUGUAUCUAAUACUAAAAUGUGACUUGAUACAUACAUAUCUAGACAAAUCUAAGACAAGAAUUUUGGGAUGGGGGGAGUACUUU